rnacentral:rRNA from 1 species
GGUUAAGUUAGAAAGGGCGCACGGUGGAUGCCUUGGCACUAGGAGCCGAAGAAGGACGGGACUAACACCGAUAUGCUUUGGGGAGCUGUACGUAAGCGUUGAUCCAGAGAUUUCCGAAUGGGGGAACCCACUAUCUUUAGUCGGAUAGUAUCCUUACGUGAAUACAUAGCGUGAGGAAGGCAGACCCAGGGAACUGAAACAUCUAAGUACCUGGAGGAAGAGAAAGAAAAAUCGAUUUCCUGAGUAGCGGCGAGCGAAACGGAAAGAGCCCAAACCAAGAAGCUUGCUUCUUGGGGUUGUAGGACACUCUAUACGGAGUUACAAAAGAAAGUUAUAAAUGAAGCGGUCUGGAAAGGCCCGCCAAAGACGGUAACAGCCCGGUAGUUGAAAUAGCUUUCCCUCCAGAGUGGAUCCUGAGUACGGCGGAACACGUGAAAUUCCGUCGGAAUCCGGGAGGACCAUCUCCCAAGGCUAAAUACUCCCUAGUGACCGAUAGUGAACCAGUACCGUGAGGGAAAGGUGAAAAGCACCCCGGAAGGGGAGUGAAACAGUUCCUGAAACCGUGUGCCUACAAGUAGUUAGAGCCCGUUAAUGGGUGAUAGCGUGCCUUUUGUAGAAUGAACCGGCGAGUUACGAUUUGUUGCAAGGUUAAGCGGAAAAAGCGGAGCCGUAGCGAAAGCGAGUCUGAAUAGGGCGCAUAAGUAACAGGUCGUAGACCCGAAACCAGGUGAUCUACCCAUGUCCAGGAUGAAGGUAAGGUAAUACUUACUGGAGGUCCGAACCCACGCACGUUGAAAAGUGCGGGGAUGAGGUGUGGGUAGCGGAGAAAUUCCAAUCGAACUUGGAGAUAGCUGGUUCUCUCCGAAAUAGCUUUAGGGCUAGCCUCGAGGUAAAGAGUCAUGGAGGUAGAGCACUGUUUGGACUAGGGGCCCUUCUCGGGUUACCGAAUUCAGAUAAACUCCGAAUGCCAUGUACUUAUACUCGGGAGUCAGACUGCGAGUGAUAAGAUCCGUAGUCGAAAGGGAAACAGCCCAGACCACCAGUUAAGGUCCCCAAAUAUAUGUUAAGUGGAAAAGGAUGUGGGGUUGCUUAGACAACCAGGAUGUUGGCUUAGAAGCAGCCACCAUUGAAAGAGUGCGUAAUAGCUCACUGGUCGAGUGACCCCGCGCCGAAAAUGUACCGGGGCUAAACAUAUUACCGAAACUGUGGAUGAACCUCUUUAGAGGUUCGUGGUAGGAGAGCGU